rnacentral:rRNA from 1 species
UGAGUAACACGUGGGUGAUCUGCCCUGCACUUUGGGAUAAGCCUGGGAAACUGGGUCUAAUACCGAAUAGGACCGCGCUCUUCAUGGGGUGUGGUGGAAAGCUUUUGCGGUGUGGGAUGNGCCCGCGGCCUAUCAGCUUGUUGGUGGGGUAAUGGCCUACCAAGGCGACGACGGGUAGCCGGCCUGAGAGGGUGACCGGCCACACUGGGACUGAGAUACGGCCCAGACUCCUACGGGAGGCAGCAGUGGGGAAUAUUGCACAAUGGGCGCAAGCCUGAUGCAGCGACGCCGCGUGAGGGAUGACGGCCUUCGGGUUGUAAACCUCUUUCAAUAGGGACGAAGCGCAAGUGACGGUACCUAUAGAAGAAGGACCGGCCAACUACGUGCCAGCAGCCGCGGUAAUACGUAGGGUCCGAGCGUUGUCCGGAAUUACUGGGCGUAAAGAGCUCGUAGGUGGUUUGUCGCGUUGUUCGUGAAAACUCACAGCUUAACUGUGGGCGUGCGGGCGAUACGGGCAGACUAGAGUACUGCAGGGGAGACUGGAAUUCCUGGUGUAGCGGUGGAAUGCGCAGAUAUCAGGAGGAACACCGGUGGCGAAGGCGGGUCUCUGGGCAGUAACUGACGCUGAGGAGCGAAAGCGUGGGGAGCGAACAGGAUUAGAUACCCUGGUAGUCCACGCCGUAAACGGUGGGUACUAGGUGUGGGUUUCCUUCCUUGGGAUCCGUGCCGUAGCUAACGCAUUAAGUACCCCGCCUGGGGAGUACGGCCGCAAGGCUAAAACUCAAAGGAAUUGACGGGGGGCCCGCACAA